UAACAUAUUAAGAGGUUUUGGAAUUUCUGCAAAGUUUCGAAUAAACCCGCGAAAUAGUUACAAAAUGCUAUAAAGCGUUUUACUUCAUCAGCAUUUUUAGGCUCUGGGUAUUUAUUAAUAAUGUCGUAUUUUGACUCGUCAGGCAAAAUUCCAUUACUAGUAAUCCUGUGACCUAGACCAAAAAUAAAAGAAAAUACACAAAUCCCGAAUAUAAACAGAGAGCCAUUGGACAGAUGACACUACGCGUAUUGGUCAGGCGGUGUUGUCGCUUCAAAUUUUUUAGAAGCGGUUUCAGGAAUAAGAAUGUUAAUCAUUUUGUUUUUUUUUUGAUUAAGGAUAUUAUAUUUCUUCUUAAAAUAGGUUAAUUCUA